rnacentral:rRNA from 1 species
AACGAACGCUGGCGGCGUGCCUAACACAUGCAAGUCGAGCGCGAAAAGGGCAACCUGAGUAGAGCGGCGCACGGGUGCGUAACACGUGGGUAAUCUGCCUUAGAGUCGAGGAUAAACUUCCGAAAGGUUGGCUAAUACUCGGUAAGCUUACGGUGUCUUCGGACGCUGUGGGAAAAGUAGGCCUCUGUUUACAAGCUUACGCUCUGAGAUGAGCCCGCGGCCCAUCAGCUAGUUGGCGGUGUAACGGACCACCAAGUCAACGACGGGUAGCUGGGCUGAGAGGACGAUCAGCCACACUGGAACUGAGACACGGUCCAGACUCCUACGGGAGGCAGCAGUGGGGAAUUUUCCACAAUGGGCGAAAGCCUGAUGGAGCAACGCCGCGUGUGUGAUGAAGGUUUGCGGAUCGUAAAGCACUUUCGACUGGGACGAAAAACCUUUGGCUAACAUCCAGGGGCCUGACGGUACCGGGAGAAGAAGCACCGGCUAACUCUGUGCCAGCCGCCGCUGUAAUAC